rnacentral:rRNA from 1 species
GUGGGGAAUUUUGGACAAUGGGCGCAAGCCUGAUCCAGCAAUGCCGCGUGCAGGAAGAAGGCCUUCGGGUUGUAAACUGCUUUUGUCAGGGAAGAAAUCUUCUGGGCUAAUACCCCGGGAGGAUGACGGUACCUGAAGAAUAAGCACCGGCUAACUGCGUGCCAGCAGUCGCGGUAAUACGUAGGGUGCGAGCGUUAAUCGGAAUUACUGGGCGUAAAGCGUGCGCAGGCGGCUUUGCAAGACAGAUGUGAAAUCCCCGGGCUCAACCUGGGAACUGCAUUUGUGACUGAAAGGCUAGAGUACGGCAGAGGGGGAUGGAAUUCCGCGUGUAGCAGUGAAAUGCGUAGAUAUGCGGAGGAACACCAAUGGCGAAGGCAAUCCCCUGGGCCUGUACUGACGCUCAUGCACGAAAGCGUGGGGAGCAAACAGGAUUAGAUAUCCCAGUAGUCC